UUAGGAAUGGAGUUAUCUUAGGGGAGGAUUGACGACAGUGGAUCGAGACUAUGGAUUGAUAAACCGCAUCCAUCAUGACAUUGGCACACAUGUUAUCCACCACCUCUUCCCUCAAAUCCCACACUACCACCUCGUAGAAGCGACGAAUGCGACGAAAUCAGUGUUGGGAAAGUACUACAGAGAGCCUAAGAAAUCAGGGGCUUUUCCGAUACACUUAGUGGAUAGCUUAUUGAGGAGCCUCAAGCAAGACCAUUUUGUGAGCGAUGAAGGAGAAGUAGUCUAUUAUCAGACCGAUCCUCUUAUCUAUGGCUUCUCGGAACCAAACAAGGACCAAUAAUAAUAAUAUUUUGGUUUAAACCUUAUAACAUACAAUGCUAUUGAUGUCAAAAGUUAAAUGACUAUAAGGUCAUGCUAGUCACCCCGAAAAUAAACUCUGGUCAUAAAUACAAAAAUAAAAAGAGUAAAGCUAUAUGAACUAUGAAUUAUUUGAUGUAAUAUGAUGGCCAAGUACCAUAUUGUAUGGCCAUAUUGUACACUAUUUCUAAUGAUCUAGUUGAAGGUUUUUACUUAUACCA